rnacentral:tRNA from 1 species
GGUCUCGUAGCUCAGCUGGUAGAGCGUGAACUGUGAAAAAGCUUAGGUGGCAUCAACGCGUGGGUUCCAAUCCCGCCGAGACAA